GUAGAAGAAAGAAUGAGGGGGCUCAGUCCUCAUCUGACGAGAAAAUCUCCACCCCCUCAUCACUGUUUCUUGGUUGGAGGUGGUAGAGGUCCAGCUGCGGCAUCAUUCACCAUAGGCGGACCUUACAAUCCUCGAAGCUGAGGACACAGGCGGUGGAAAAGAUGUCGGUGGCCUCCCUCUCAAAUGCUAUGGAGGCCUGAAACUCUCGGAUGCAGCACGUCUGGACUCUGGGAGAAAUCCACUCUAAUUGGGGGGCACCCUCACCCCCAGAGGACGGCA
rnacentral:lncRNA from 1 species